rnacentral:rRNA from 1 species
UACGUAGGGACCAAGCGUUGUUCGGAUUUACUGGGCGUAAAGAGCGCGCAGGCGGUCGGUCAAGUCGCGUGUGAAAGCCCCCGGCUCAACUGGGGAGGGUCACGCGAUACUGAUCGACUCGAAGGCAGGAGAGGGUAGUGGAAUUCCCGGUGUAGUGGUGAAAUGCGUAGAUAUCGGGAGGAACACCAGUGGCGAAGGCGACUACCUGGCCUGUUCUUGACGCUGAGGCGCGAAAGCUAGGGGAGCAAACGGG